AUCCCUCGAGGUGGUAAAUUUCGUUGCAACCACGCACCUUCGCGGUCAAAGAGAUGCAGGAGAGGCGACGCCUGCCGAGGGAU
rnacentral:ncRNA from 1 species